UUAAGCGACUAAGCGUACACGGUGGAUGCCCUGGCAGUCAGAGGCGAUGAAGGGCGUGCUAAUCUGCGAUAAGCGCCGGUAAGGUGAUAUGAACCGUUAUAACCGGCGAUACCCGAAUGGGGAAACCCAGUGUGAUUCGUCACACUAUCAUUAACUGAAUCCAUAGGUUAAUGAGGCGAACCGGGGGAACUGAAACAUCUAAGUACCCCGAGGAAAAGAAAUCAACCGAGAUUCCCCCAGUAGCGGCGAGCGAACGGGGAGGAGCCCAGAGCCUGAAUCAGCAUGUGUGUUAGUGGAAGCGUCUGGAAAGGCGCGCGAUACAGGGUGACAGCCCCGUACACAAAAGCGCAUGUGCUGUGAGCUCGAUGAGUAGGGCGGGACACGUGGUAUCCUGUCUGAAUAUGGGGGGACCAUCCUCCAAGGCUAAAUACUCCUGACUGACCGAUAGUGAACCAGUACCGUGAGGGAAAGGCGAAAAGAACCCCGGCGAGGGGAGUGAAAAAGAACCUGAAACCGUGUACGUACAAGCAGUGGGAGCCCCACCACUAAGCCAGUGGUGAACUCCACAUACGCAUCCUUUGCUGAGGAUACGGUUAACGGAGCGAAAGCGACGUUCAACCGCAAAAGAAGCAGAGGGGGCUUAGUGGUGGGGUGACUGCGUACCUUUUGUAUAAUGGGUCAGCGACUUAUAUUCUGUAGCAAGGUUAACCGAAUAGGGGAGCCGGAGGGAAACCGAGUCUUAAUUGGGCGUUAAGUUGCAGGGUAUAGACCCGAAACCCGGUGAUCUAGCCAUGGGCAGGUUGAAGGUUGGGUAACACUAACUGGAGGACCGAACCGACUAAUGUUGAAAAAUUAGCGGAUGACCUGUGGCUGGGGGUGAAAGGCCAAUCAAACCGGGAGAUAGCUGGUUCUCCCCGAAAGCUAUUUAGGUAGCGCCUCGUGAAUUCAUCUCCGGGGGUAGAGCACUGUUUCGGCUAGGGGGCCAUCCCGGCUUACCAACCCGAUGCAAACUGCGAAUACCGGAGAAUGUUAUCACGGGAGACACACGGCGGGUGCUAACGUCCGUCGUGAAGAGGGAAACAACCCAGACCGCCAGCUAAGGUCCCAAAGUCAUGGUUAAGUGGGAAACGAUGUGGGAAGGCCCAGACAGCCAGGAUGUUGGCUUAGAAGCAGCCAUCAUUUAAAGAAAGCGUAAUAGCUCACUGGUCGAGUCGGCCUGCGCGGAAGAUGUAACGGGGCUAAACCAUGCACCGAAGCUGCGGCAGCGAACGUAUCACUUAAAGCGAUUCAGCGGGUUACGAUUGACGGAGCGAAGCGACGUCAAAGCGUAUACAAAGUCGAGUCGGUUUAAGGAUACGUUCGUUGGGUAGGGGAGCGUUCUGUAAGCCUGUGAAGGUGGCCUGUGAGGGUUGCUGGAGGUAUCAGAAGUGCGAAUGCUGACAUAAGUAACGAUAAAGCGGGUGAAAAGCCCGCUCGCCGGAAGACCAAGGGUUCCUGUCCAACGUUAAUCGGGGCAGGGUGAGUCGACCCCUAAGGCGAGGCCGAAAGGCGUAGUCGAUGGGAAACGGGUUAAUAUUCCCGUACUUGGUGUUACUGCGAAGGGGGGACGGAGAAGGCUAUGUUGGCCGGGCGACGGUUGUCCCGGUUUAAGCGUGUAGGUGUGUGUUCCAGGUAAAUCCGGUUCACUUUAACACUGAGGCGUGACGACGAGGCACUACGGUGCUGAAGCAACAAAUGCCCUGCUUCCAGGAAAAGCCUCUAAGCAUCAGGUAACAUCAAAUCGUACCCCAAACCGACACAGGUGGUCAGGUAGAGAAUACCAAGGCGCUUGAGAGAACUCGGGUGAAGGAACUAGGCAAAAUGGUGCCGUAACUUCGGGAGAAGGCACGCUGAUAUGUAGGUGAAGUGAUUUACUCACGGAGCUGAAAUCAGUCGAAGAUACCAGCUGGCUGCAACUGUUUAUUAAAAACACAGCACUGUGCAAACACGAAAGUGGACGUAUACGGUGUGACGCCUGCCCGGUGCCGGAAGGUUAAUUGAUGGGGUCAGCGCAAGCGAAGCUCCUGAUCGAAGCCCCGGUAAACGGCGGCCGUAACUAUAACGGUCCUAAGGUAGCGAAAUUCCUUGUCGGGUAAGUUCCGACCUGCACGAAUGGCGUAAUGAUGGCCAGGCUGUCUCCACCCGAGACUCAGUGAAAUUGAACUCGCUGUGAAGAUGCAGUGUACCCGCGGCAAGACGGAAAGACCCCGUGAACCUUUACUAUAGCUUGACACUGAACAUUGAGCCUUGAUGUGUAGGAUAGGUGGGAGGCUUUGAAGCGUGGACGCCAGUCUGCGUGGAGCCGACCUUGAAAUACCACCCUUUAAUGUUUGAUGUUCUAACGUGGACCCGUAAUCCGGGUUGCGGACAGUGUCUGGUGGGUAGUUUGACUGGGGCGGUCUCCUCCUAAAGAGUAACGGAGGAGCACGAAGGUUGGCUAAUCCUGGUCGGACAUCAGGAGGUUAGUGCAAUGGCAUAAGCCAGCUUGACUGCGAGCGUGACGGCGCGAGCAGGUGCGAAAGCAGGUCAUAGUGAUCCGGUGGUUCUGAAUGGAAGGGCCAUCGCUCAACGGAUAAAAGGUACUCCGGGGAUAACAGGCUGAUACCGCCCAAGAGUUCAUAUCGACGGCGGUGUUUGGCACCUCGAUGUCGGCUCAUCACAUCCUGGGGCUGAAGUAGGUCCCAAGGGUAUGGCUGUUCGCCAUUUAAAGUGGUACGCGAGCUGGGUUUAGAACGUCGUGAGACAGUUCGGUCCCUAUCUGCCGUGGGCGCUGGAGAACUGAGGGGGGCUGCUCCUAGUACGAGAGGACCGGAGUGGACGCAUCACUGGUGUUCGGGUUGUCAUGCCAAUGGCACUGCCCGGUAGCUAAAUGCGGAAGAGAUAAGUGCUGAAAGCAUCUAAGCACGAAACUUGCCCCGAGAUGAGUUCUCCCUGAGACUUAGAGUCUCCUGAAGGAACGUUGAAGACGACGACGUUGAUAGGCCGGGUGUGUAAGCGCAGCGAUGCGUUGAGCUAACCGGUACUAAUGAACCGUGAGGCUUAACCUU
rnacentral:rRNA from 1 species